rnacentral:lncRNA from 1 species
GGAGUGGCGAAUCGUUGCCUUCAACUGUCGUUAGCCGUUGCCUUCAUUGGGUAUCUCAGACCUCUGGGUUUUAGAGAGAUGAGUUCUUUCUGUUCAAACUUCGAACUUGCCUCUUCUUCUUCUUUUUCGGACGUGUUUCCCUCUUCUUCUUCUUUUUGGACGUGCUGGAUAUUCAAUUCGGGUUUGGGUUCCUCACCUACCCAAUUGUGAAACUUUAUCUCAAUUCUCCCAAGCCCUUGGAUUGAUCUGAUGGCUAUAAAGCGAACCCCUUAUAACUUACCCCUUAUAACUUUCCACUCAUUAUAGUCGAAGGGUUUGUUCCCU